rnacentral:snRNA from 1 species
AUUCCUCAGCCUUCUGGCUAAAAUCAUGUGUAGUAUCUGCUCUUCUCAGUUUAAUAUCUGACCACAAUACACUAAAUGGACUUUUGGAGCUGGGAGAUGGAAUAGAAACUUGCUCCGUCCACUCCAGGCAUCAACCUGGUAUUGCAGUACCUCCAGGAAUGGUGCAAAAAAC